GAGGGUAGAGCUCAGUGGUAGAGUGCAUGCUUAGCACGCACGAGGUCCUGGGUUCAAUCCCCAGUACUUCCA
rnacentral:tRNA from 1 species